GACAUCCCAAGGAUUCCGGAUAGCACUAACUCAUAGGAAACUAUUGCGGUAUAGUGUGCAUGACUCGGAGUAGAGGAAUUUGUAAGAACAGAAAAUCACUGAUUUGAAUGAGGGGUUAAACCAAGGGUGAGCUACUCUGGUACUGAUGAGAAGCAGGGUGUGGAGGAUUUAGUGGGAAAACAUAUCCACUUGGGCUGCGUGUGUAAAUGCAGUCUUAGUCAAAAAUAAUAAUAAUCGGACAAUACAGGUGAGUUUACACCAGCUGCCCAUCGUUGUCUAAUCAGGCUCUGAUUGGUUGCAGGUUGUCUGCUACACACACAAGUCUUUUCUCCUCACUUCACCAGUGCUGUUCAUUGGGUGUCAUGGCUGCUCGUACUGGCUCAGGGUGCCUCCUUGCUUUGCUGAGCUGUUCAUUGUUAUCCUUAUCAACAAGUUUAUAGGACUGUCUUUCUCCACCCUCUUCGAGCACGGCACUCGUUGUCUAUGAGAAAGACACUAGUCGGAGCGACACCGACAAGCAUAUGCUGCCCCCCUCUCCUCCUGAGACUGAAGGCUCUAUUCCCGUUCCAUACCGACUAGCUGGUUUCAACUCCAGCAGGUUCAGGAAGAGCCUGUAGCCUGUCUUUCCAGGGUGGAGAAGACCAUUUAGUGCACCAUUGGUGCCCUGGCUCUAUCAAGAUUCCUUGGCAUGAGCAGAACAACCAAAUGUUAUUUGUCACAUACACAUGGUUAGCAGAUGUUAAUGCGAGUGUCGCGAAAUGCAUGUGCUUCUAGUUCCGACAAUGCAGUAAUAACCAACGAGUAACCUAACAA